UUCCAGGGGGAAUUGCUGGCCUGGCUCUUCCUCCAUCCAGGGGAGGAAUAUCCGCAGGUGGAGCUGGCGAGGAGGUUCAAGGUCUCCCCUGCGAGC
rnacentral:tRNA from 1 species